UACCCACUCCUUUCACGCAAUUAGGAAGAGGGCAGGUGAUGAGGCGUCUGCAGCUUCAGGGAGAUGAGUCAGCCCCAUCCCCACCUUCAGGGAAAGCCAGGGACAGGAACAGGGGCACCGACGAGGCCGGUUACAACUCAAGAUGAUACGUGCCGGACACAGAAUAAGCAGGAAAGCUGGGACACGCCCCUGAUCUUCGACUUUAAAAGCCCAAAGUCGGAAUGUCAGCCCCAUGUUACAACCAGUGAGAUCUGGGUCCCAGCUCUGCCCUCUGGGCACCACCAUGCCUGCCAGCUCCCUCUGCCCAGGACAGAGAUCAGAAAACCACUCACAGAUGGACCCCAGGACUCCGCCUGUCCAGUUGCCACUUGCCCAAAGGCUUCAUUUUACAGAUGAGAAAAUUGAGGCCGAAAAGGGGACAAGUCAAAGGACAGACUGGAGAGAGACCUGGCAGCGUAAUAAAAGUUCAUGACUUUCAGUCUUGUUCUUGUUCAGUUGCUAAGUCAUGUCCAGCUCUGUGAUCCCAUGGGCUGCAGCACGCCAGGGUUGCCUGUCCUUCACCAUCUUGUUCAAACUCAUGUCUGUUGAGUCAGUGAUGCCAUCCAACCAUCUCAUCCUCUGUCAUCCCCUUCUCCUCCUGGCUUCAGUCUUUCCCAGCGUCAGGGUCUUUUCAAAUGAGUCAGCUCUCUGCAUCAGGUGGUCAAA
ensembl:lncRNA